UCCCUAGCACAGUCAGGUGUUCCACAUUUGUGACAUCAACAAUGCGCAUAGAAUGUUACUACAGUGGUAGUGCGUUUAAUACCUAGCUGAGAACAACUCCUCAAAACUCAGUUGACAGCAGUUGCCCAACAUGUUUUGGUGCUUCUUUAUUUGAUUAUAUCUUUGGAACUCAGGUGCAUCUUCUGGAAACAGCAAAAAGAUGUAUUCUUUUUCCUAAUCCAAACAGAUAUUCUGCAUAUUUUUAAUUGGGCUGUGCUGCUAUGAGUGGAGCUUCUGCCAGGUGUGGUUUGCACCCCUGCACUGGGUCAGAGGUGUUCCGGGUGAGUCUGGAGGACACUGGUGCCAGAUAUUCGAGGCUAUGAGACAACUGAUGGAAAUGGAAAGAACAGAAAGUGGCUACAGAAAAAAGAAGAGCUGAGUAAUAAUUAGUGAACAAAUACACACCAUCAUCCAUCAUGGCUCACUCUAUCUUACCUGAGGAGGAGUAGGUGUGGAUGUGGGCCUCCCUAUGGGUGGAGUAGGAUUUCUGCUGCCACCUCCAGACAUAAUCUCCUCUGUUAUAUCUUUACCUCCCUGGUUUGGAUCUCGAAUUCUUAUCUGUAAGAUUAAAUAAAACAAAA